AGAGAUGACCUGUGUGCCAAAGUCUGCUGAUGGAGUUGCAGAUAGAGUGCCAUACUGAGAUGAGUCUGCAGGAACAUGUGACUGGUGGCUAUAUGACCAGGUGCUGCAUGCAGCCUCAGUGGGGCAAAGCUUCAUUUCAACAAAUGGUUUGAGAGGUGCCAUGCAAGCUUCCUUGGGAAUGGGAAGAGCAUUUGAGAUGCCCCAGGUGAUGACAGCUGCAGCAUCUGACGUUUUGAGUGAGCAUUGAGCAGAUGAUGAAGAGGAACUGGGUGACAGUAGAAUCAUUCCGGUGAGGCCAUCUAGUUUGAGCUUUAGCUGCCAAGGGCAGCUUCAGGCUCUUGCCGCUCUGAAAGCUAACUUGAGGGACCAGGGCUGUGCAGGAAGAGUUCCCUUUCAGCAGGUAAAGAUGGGUCACAGCCCAGGAUGGUUGAUGAGAAGCUUGACAUGAGCCGGCAAUGUGUGCUCGCAGCCCAGAAGGCUAACUGUAUUCCAGGCUGCAUCAAAAGAAGCAUGGCCAGCAGGUCAAGAGAAAUGAUUCUGCCCCUCCGUUCCUCUCUUGUGAGACCUCAUCAGCAAUACCGUGUCCAGUUCCGGAAUCCUCAACAUAAGAAGGAUGUGGAGCUGUUGGAAUGGGUCCAGAGGAGGGUUACAAGGAUAAUCAGACAGCUGGAGCACCUUCCCUACAAGGACAGGCUGAGAGAGUUGGGCCUGUUCAGCCUGGAGAAGAGAAGGCUUAGAGGAGAUCUUAUAGUGACCUUCCAGUACCUGAAGGAGGCCUACAGGAAAGCUGGAGAGGGGGCUAUUCGUAAAGGCUUAUGGGGAUAGGGCCAGGAGGAACGGAUAUAAACUGGAGAGGGCAGAUUUAAGCUAGACGUUAGGAAGAAUUUCUUCACCAUGAGAGCAGUGAGACACUGGAACAGGUUACCCUGGGAGGCUGUGGCUGCCCCAUCCUUGGAGGUGUUCAAGGCCAGGCUGGAUGGGCAUUGGGCAGCCUGAUCCAGUGGGAUGUCCCUGCCCAUGGCAGGGGGGUUGGAACUGGGUGAUCUUUAAGGUCCCUUCCAACCCAAACUAUACUAUGGGGGGAAUUGGAAGGACAGAGAAAGAAAAACGGGCGAAGGAGGAAAGCGCUCUCCUCUGGGGCCAACGGCCCCUUCCUCUCAUUACCCGGCUCUCUGCUGCCUCUGGGUGAGAGAAGAGCAGUUCUGCAGUCCGAGUCAUCAAACACGGCUCUCUGCUGCCACCAGGUGACCGAAAAGUGGUUUUGCAGCCCGACUCGAUUAACGUGGCUCUCUGCUGCUACUGAGUGACAGAAACGUGGCCCUGCAUGCACAGUGGAGCGAGAAAGCUAAGCUCUCUGCUGUCACUGGGUGACAAAUAUGAUGUGUUGGUGGUUUAAUGAAAGUCUUUUAUAUAAGUAGCACGACCAGGCCUGAUUUAAAUUAUCUAAGUUAAUUACAUAUACGUUAUUUAUCACUAAGUAUCAAUAAUCCUUGUUAAAACUUGUCCAGAGUACAGCGAAUAUUUUAUUCACUGAGAUACAGCUCUCAGAAGCAUAUCAUUAAGUUACAUUCAGUAUGCAUUACAUAAUCAUAUUCUCAUACACCAUUUAGAUAGAAUUUAACAUUGAUUAAUGGUCUUUAAUCUGUCUCAUGCAGUAGCAAAGUCACAGAGAAUGUCCUAUUUCUCAGCAACUGAAGAAGUAGCAAACUCUAAAGGGCAUUUUCAACUGUUUGUUACUGAUCCUCUUCUUGCCCUUUUCCCACCAGUCUUACCAUUGCAUACAGCCACGUGCUUUGUGUAGUCAUCAGGCUAAUAUGUCCAGGCUAACAAGUACAAUAAAGGAAGCUUGGAGAAACUAAAAAUGAAAGCAGACCCCAGAUAUAAGAGGAUAGGCUCUGAAACUCCUAUAUUUACGUCAAGUACAGACACAGUCUUUGCUUUAAUCAGCUGUAUUGCACCCCUUCCUCUCACAGAACUAAAUCAAUAGGAUCACUGCUGCAACAUCAUUAGUCAGACUCUGCAGGGAUCUGUGAAUCCCAGACAUGUACAAAAAGCCAGUCAGCUAGGGGCCUGUACUAUAGAUUCUUCCUCUGUGACUUUCCUCUU